rnacentral:rRNA from 1 species
UACGGGGGGGGCAAGCGUUGUUCGGAAUUACUGGGCGUAAAGGGCUCGUAGGCGGCCAACUAAGUCAGACGUGAAAUCCCUCGGCUUAACCGGGGAACUGCCUCUGAUACUGGAUGGCUUGAGAUUGGGAGAGGGAUGCGGAAUUCCAGGUGUAGCGGUGAAAUGCGUAGAUAUCUGGAGGAACACCGGUGGCGAAGGCGGCAUCCUGGACCAACACAGACGCUGAGGAGCGAAAGCCAGGGGAGCAAACGGG